rnacentral:rRNA from 1 species
AUUGAACGCUGGCGGCAGGCCUAACACAUGCAAGUCGAACGGUAACAGGAAGAAGCUUGCUUCUUUGCUGACGAGUGGCGGACGGGUGAGUAAUGUCUGUGAAACUGCCUGAUGGAGGGGGAUAACUACUGGAAACGGUAGCUAAUACCGCAUAACGUCGCAAGACCAAAGAGGGGGACCUUCGGGCCUCUUGCCAUCGGAUGUGCCCAGAUGGGAUUAGCUAGUAGGUGGGGUAACGGCUCACCUAGGCGACGAUCCGUAGCUGGUCUGAGAGGAUGACCAGCCACACUGGAACUGAGACACGGUCCAGACUCCUACGGGAGGCAGCAGUGGGGAAUAUUGCACAAUGGGCGCAAGCCUGAUGCAGCCAUGCCGCGUGUAUGAAGAAGGUCUUCGGGUUGUAAAGUACUUUCAGCGGGGAGGAAGGGAGUAAAGUUAAUACCUUUGCUCAUUGACGUUACCAGCAGAAGAAGCACCGGCUAACUUCGUG